rnacentral:rRNA from 1 species
CAAGGUUUCCGUAGGUGAACCUGCGGAAGGAUCAUUAUUGAAUUAAUGUAGAGUUUGGUUGUAGCUGGCUCCUAAUUAAACUUGGGGGCAUGUGCACACCUUUCUCUUUCAUCCCAUACACACCUGUGCACCUGUGAGACAGAUGUUUUGUGGGGGGGAAGGAACUUUAUUGGACCUUCUACUCCCCCUUGACUUCUGUCUACUUAAUUCAUAUAAACUCAAUUUAUUUUAAAACGGAUGUAAUGGAUGUAACACAUCUAAUACUAAGUUUCAACAACGGAUCUCUUGGCUCUCGCAUCGAUGAAGAACGCAGCGAAAUGCGAUAAGUAAUGUGAAUUGCAGAAUUCAGUGAAUCAUCGAAUCUUUGAACGCACCUUGCGCUCCUUGGUAUUCCUUGGAGCAUGCCUGUUUGAGUAUCAUGAAAUCUUCAAAGUCAAACCUUUUGUUAAUUCAAUUGGUUCUGCUUUGGUAUUGGAGGAUUAUUGCAGCUUCACACCUGCUCCUCUUUGUGCAUUAGCUGGAUCUCAGUGUUAUGCUUGGUUCCACUCAGCGUGAUAAGUUAUCUAUCGCUGAGGACACCCUGUUAAAAAGGGGUGGCCAAGGUAAAUGCAGAUGAACCGCUUCUAAUAGUCCAUUGACUUGGACAAUAUCUAAUUUAUGAUCUGAUCUCAAAUCAGGUAGGACUACCCGCUGAACUUA